rnacentral:sRNA from 1 species
GCGCAGGGAUUGGCGGGACUGCGCGGCGGCGACAACAGACAUGUCGGGGGUCAGGGGCCUGUCGCGGCUGCUGAGCGCUCGGCGCCUGGCGCUGGCCAAGGCGUGGCCAACAGUGUUGCAAACAGGAGCCCGAGGUUUUCACUUCACUGUUGAUGGGAACAAGAGGGCAUCCGCUAAAGUUUCAGAUUCCAUUUCUGCUCAGUAUCCAGUAGUGGAUCAUGAAUUUGAUGCAGUGGUGGUAGGCGCUGGAGGGGCAGGCUUGCGAGCUGCAUUUGGCCUUUCCGAGGCAGGGUUUAAUACAGCAUGUGUUACCAAGCUGUUUCCUACCAGGUCACACACUGUUGCAGCGCAGGGAGGAAUCAAUGCUGCUCUGGGGAACAUGGAGGAGGACAACUGGAGGUGGCAUUUCUACGACACCGUGAAGGGCUCCGACUGGCUGGGGGACCAGGAUGCCAUCCACUACAUGACGGAGCAGGCCCCUGCUGCCGUGGUCGAGCUAGAAAAUUAUGGCAUGCCGUUUAGCAGAACUGAAGAUGGGAAGAUUUAUCAGCGUGCAUUUGGUGGACAGAGCCUCAAGUUUGGAAAGGGCGGGCAGGCCCAUCGGUGCUGCUGUGUGGCUGAUCGGACUGGCCACUCACUAUUGCACACCUUAUAUGGAAGGUCUCUGCGAUAUGAUACCAGCUAUUUUGUGGAGUAUUUUGCCUUGGAUCUCCUGAUGGAGAAUGGGGAGUGCCGUGGUGUCAUCGCACUGUGCAUAGAGGACGGCUCCAUCCAUCGCAUAAGAGCAAAGAACACUGUUGUUGCCACAGGAGGCUACGGGCGCACCUACUUCAGCUGCACGUCUGCCCACACCAGCACUGGCGAUGGCACGGCCAUGAUCACCAGGGCAGGCCUCCCUUGCCAGGACCUAGAGUUUGUUCAGUUCCACCCCACAGGCAUAUAUGGUGCUGGUUGUCUCAUUACGGAAGGAUGUCGUGGAGAGGGAGGCAUUCUCAUUAACAGUCAAGGUGAAAGGUUUAUGGAGCGAUACGCCCCCGUCGCGAAGGACCUGGCGUCUAGAGAUGUGGUGUCUCGUUCGAUGACUCUGGAGAUCCGAGAAGGAAGAGGCUGUGGCCCUGAGAAAGAUCAUGUCUACCUGCAGCUGCACCACCUACCUCCAGAGCAGCUGGCCACACGCCUGCCUGGCAUUUCAGAGACAGCCAUGAUCUUCGCUGGCGUGGAUGUCACGAAGGAGCCGAUCCCUGUCCUCCCCACCGUGCAUUAUAACAUGGGCGGCAUUCCCACCAACUACAAGGGGCAGGUCCUGAGGCACGUGAAUGGCCAGGAUCAGAUUGUGCCCGGCCUGUACGCCUGUGGGGAGGCCGCCUGUGCCUCGGUACAUGGUGCCAACCGCCUCGGGGCAAACUCGCUCUUGGACCUGGUUGUCUUUGGUCGGGCAUGUGCCCUGAGCAUUGAAGAGUCAUGCAGACCUGUCAAUGCAAAAUCAUGCUGCCGUGUUCCGUGUGGGAAGCGUGUUGCAGGAAGGUUGUGGGAAAAUCAGCAAGCUCUAUGGAGACCUAAAGCACCUGAAGACGUUCGACCGGGGAAUGGUCUGGAACACGGACCUGGUGGAGACCCUGGAGCUGCAGAACCUGAUGCUGUGUGCGCUGCAGACCAUCUAUGGAGCAGAGGCGCGGAAGGAGUCACGGGGUGCGCACGCCAGGGAAGACUACAAGGUGGGCCUUCUCACCACGCCCACCUGCACCUGCCUUUUCCUGCCACCUGGUGGGACUCAACCACACCCAUGCAUUUUCUCUGCAUUUUAUUUCGUUUCCCCAAAAGUAAAUCCAAAAAAUGCCCUUUUCCCCCUGGUAACUUCGAUCCCUGGGUUCUCGCCAUCUUCUGGAUCACUGUGACCUUUUCCUUGCUUUGGGUCAGCGUCCACUGAUGCCAGCAGUGGCAUCUCCAAGCCAACGUGCUUUGCUGUUAGAAGGCCACGGUUAGAAGUGCAGCCAGAGUGGCAUGACCAGGAAAUAAAUGCCAGUUUAUUAAAUAACGAGUAAGCCACCGUUU